rnacentral:rRNA from 1 species
UACGGAGGGUGCAAGCGUUAUCCGGAUUCACUGGGUUUAAAGGGUGCGUAGGUGGGUCUGUAAGUCAGUGGUGAAAUCUCUGAGCUUAACUCAGAAAUUGCCAUUGAUACUAUAGGUCUUGAAUCUUCUGGAGGUUAGCGGAAUAUGUCAUGUAGCGGUGAAAUGCUUAGAUAUGACAUAGAACACCAAUUGCGAAGGCAGCUAACUACGGGGGCAUUGACACUGAUGCACGAAAGCGUGGGGAUCAAACAGG